UUUGUACUGUGAAACUGCGAAUGGCUCAUUAAAUCAGUUAUCGUUUAUUUGAUAGUACCCUACUACAUGGAUACCUGUGGUAAUUCUAGAGCUAAUACAUGCGCAAAACCCCGACUUCGGAAGGGGUGUAUUUAUUAGAUAAAAAACCAAUGCCCUUCGGGGCUCCUUGGUGAUUCAUAAUAACUUAACGAAUCGCAUGGCCUUGCGCCGGCGAUGGUUCAUUCAAAUUUCUGCCCUAUCAACUUUCGAUGGUAGGAUAGUGGCCUACCAUGGUGGCAACGGGUAACGGGGAAUUAGGGUUCGAUUCCGGAGAGGGAGCCUGAGAAACGGCUACCACAUCCAAGGAAGGCAGCAGGCGCGCAAAUUACCCAAUCCCGAUCCGGGGAGGUAGUGACAAUAAAUACUGAUAUAGGGCUCUUUUGGGUCUUAUAAUUGGAAUGAGUACAAUCUAAAUCUCUUAACGAGGAACAAUUGGAGGGCAAGUCUGGUGAACCAUUAGUAGUUCUUCUGCUGACGCCAGAGAUAGUAGGGCCUUUCGGGGCUAUGCCUGCUAGUCGAGCAUUCACAAUAGCGAUGGGUGAAUGCCGGCGAGGUGACCUGGUACGGGGAAGCCUGCAGGCCCGGAGCGCCGUGCUCCGGGCUAUGGCAAUCCCGUGGUGAGUCCUCCGAGGACCGCCGUAACGCGCGGAAAGGCACCGGUCACACCUGUGACUCGAGGGACGUGCUGUCCCAUCCGAAAGGAUGCCAGCCACUGGAGCACCCAUCGUGCAAAGGUGGUUGGGGGUCGCUUUAGCGACCUGGACCGCCCACGGCGCCCCCCGGCGAGGGGCGUUCGGGGUGGAUUAACGGCCAGCAGCCGCGGUAAUUCCAGCUCCAAUAGCGUAUAUUAAAGUUGUUGCAGUUAAAAAGCUCGUAGUUGAACCUUGGGCCCGUCCUGCCGGUCCGCCUCACCGCGAGUACUGGUCCGGAUGGGUCUUUCUUUCUGGGGAAUCCCAUGGCCUUCACUGGCUGUGGCGGGGAACCAGGACUUUUACUGUGAAAAAAUUAGAGUGUUCAAAGCAGGCCUUUGCUCGGAUACAUUAGCAUGGAAUAAUAAAAUAGGACGUGUGGUUCUAUUUUGUUGGUUUCUAGGACCGCCGUAAUGAUUAAUAGGGAUAGUCGGGGGCGUCAGUAUUCAGCUGUCAGAGGUGAAAUUCUUGGAUUUGCUGAAGACUAACUACUGCGAAAGCAUUCGCCAAGGAUGUUUUCAUUAAUCAGGGAACGAAAGUUAGGGGAUCGAAAACGAUCAGAUACCGUUGUAGUCUUAACCAUAAACUAUGCCGACUAGGGAUCGGGCGGUGUUUCUAUGAUGACCCGCUCGGCACCUUACGAGAAAUCAAAG
rnacentral:rRNA from 1 species